CUCCUCCCAUCUUCUCUGAUUGAGGGUAUGUAAAGCAGCUUUGGCAUCAUGGCAGCCUUUUGUCUCUGCUGGCUCCUCUGAGUGGAGCUGGUUGCUGGCUGCUGGUGGAAAUUGGACACUAGUGUGGUUUCCUUCAAAGGCUGCAGUGGUUUGAGAGUAACGUUCUACUGCUUUGUGGAUGACCUCCCUGUGACACAAACACACAGACAAGUCAGACAAAACAGAAGUUGGCCCAGAACACCUCACAAAUACCCGAUCUAACCAUCACAUUAGCUUAGCCCUGGCAGGGUUUGAGAGUAACACUCUACUGCUUUGUGGAUGACCUCCCUGUGACACAAACACACAGACAAGUCAGCUGCUGUUGAUCAGGAUCCCACCGUUCCCAACAACGGCACAAGUGUCCAAUGUUUUAUUGGAGAAAGGAUGCUCCUGGAAUCAGCAACAUAGAACACAGCAACACUUAUAUUAUAUGUAGUAUAUGUGUAAUGUAUUGUGUGUGAACCACGCUCUGCUUCACUCUGUGUUUAGUGUCAAUGAGCUAAAGUUUCAAUGACAUCUAAAUUAAGAUGGUGAGCAAACAGUAUUGUAACUCUGUUACUCUUUAGAACCUUUUAUGUACAAUUUUGCAUGUCAUGGUAGUAUGUCCUACAAUUUGGGUAAAAGGUGAACAUACUUUUCUUAUCUGUACAUUUAUAUUUCUUAUCUUGUCUAUCUAGCUGCUGUAACAAGUCAAUUUUUCCACAGAAGGCUCAAUAAAAUGCAUUUUAUAUUAUCUAUUAUUUAUGCCUUCACUUUUUCACUUUGGACGGACUUUAGCCUGAGCUGAAUUAAUCACUUCUCAGAGUAUGCAGUCCGUCAUGAACAACUUGAUCUUAUUUGUCAUCAGUGCACCAGUGUGUUUAUGCAGUCAGUCCAUGUAAUUUAAGGGCCAUCUUCCUCUGUUUCCUUCUGUUUUUCCACUGGUGGGCUCCCAAAAAAACAGUUUGGAAGCCUCUUCAUCCUGAUGUCUGACAAGGUAACCAGCCAGCUUUAGAUGGCUCUUACAAAUUUUUCUUGAUACUUUAGGCAGUCUUCCAUACAGCUUGUUGUUUGUCAUGUGAUCUCACAAGGAGGUGUUCAGAGCCAUACCUAACAAUUUUGUGUAUGUGCCAUGAUCCAUGAUCCCAUUUUCUUAAAGUCCUCAACCCAUGAAAUCAUUUCUCCUCUUCUGGUGAUUAGUUGUUUGUCUGUGUUAACAUUAAAUGAUAUAGCCACA